rnacentral:lncRNA from 1 species
CGUUUCCGGUGUGGCCGCUACGAAGAGCCGCAGCCUUUGCAGCUUCGGCGAGGAGGGCGUGAGGCGUGUGCGCCUCCGCGGCGUCUCCACGGAACGAGCGGGGCGCGCCCUCCUCCCCGGUGGGCGGAAGGGGGUCACCUGCCGGGGGUUCAACAUGGGAGCCAUAAAUACCGUAGAAUUUCUGAAAUGGAAGAGACAUUUUCUCACUAACGAGGAAGGUGGGAGUCCAGGUCAAUGGUAACUGUUCAUAGAGGUCAUUCAUCCAGAUCAAGCCUGGGGCCCUUCCAAGGAGACAGAGUCCAGUUGAUGUUGGAUGUUCACUGACUGCUGUCAGCAGAUGAGGGGGACAGUGAUGAAAUCUUCCACUUGAGAUUUCUAGGCAAAAAUGGCACUCAACUGUUUAGACCAACAA